GGGAGAUAAAUUACAGUGUAAACUCCAUGUAACGUCACUCUAUUUAACGACAAACUCCCUUAAGCGUCGAAAUCAAUUGGCUUCGGUUGGUUUAGCUUGUCUUUCAUACCAUGUUUCACUCUACAUAGCAUUACACCCACUCUCAAUAACGACAACAAUUGAGUAAUAAAAAGUACCUUUUAAGUUGCUAAAAUUAGUAAAAACUGCGCAGCUGUGUAUGAUCUAUUGUCGCUUUAUUAUCCUAGCCCACAAUAAACUCGACUGUCCGCAUCAUGCAUACCGAACAUUCUAAGAAAUUCGUUCUUUUGUUUACAAAUUGGGAUUGCUUGUACGUGUACACUGUUGUUGACCAUGACUCAUAAGUAGGAGUCAUGGAUUAUCUAUACCUUAUCAUAUUCUUAGUUGCUCACAAACUUUCUAGCGUUCAAAUAACAUUCUUUUUUAUGCACAUAAAUAAACUUUUUCUUUUUCUAAUUCUGAUGUUUCUUCUUUCCAUUUAACGACAACUCUCUAUAACGCCAUAAAAUGCACAGUCCCUUCGGUGUCGUUAUAUAGAGUUUAUACUGUAUAUAAAUAUUAAAUACAUAUCUC